rnacentral:lncRNA from 1 species
UUCUUUCUCAUCUUCAUUGGUGCAGAGGGAAAAUUUCCUACUUACAGAAGCCCUCGCCUAAGAGGUAUCAAAAUGGAAUGUUGUGUUUUAUCACAACUGAUUCUAAGAACAGAAGCUAAUAACAAAGUCUGUGUGGCCUGGAACACCAGACUUGACUGGACCUACUUGCAAUCUCUUUUCUGACUAAUAAAGUAACUUAAAAAAAAUUAACCCUGUAAAGACCAAUGGACUCAAUCCAUUCUAGCUAGAGUGCAAGUUUUUAAUCCUCGAACUAGCAAAAUAACUAAGAGCAUCCCACUUGCUAUCAAUACUUAAUGAUUUCUUUUUUAUUUCCAGCUCACUACUCAGAGUAUUUCUCCACUGGUGCAUGUCUUCUUGCCUGGAAAGUUAAUAAAAUUGGCUUUGUAUCUUUUUAAAGCCUUGGUGUAAUUUUUUUGCUCUUUGACAAGAAAACCCCAGCUCUAGAUUGGUUUAGUCUCUCUCCUUCUUUAAAUCUUGAUUGAAAUAGCUGAAAAACACUAAAGAAAAAAAACCACACUAACUCACGUAUUAUCAUCACUAUAAUAUGUAUAAAUAACACCCCAAUUGGUUGGUUUCAGUAGCUGGCUCUACUGAGAUUAUCUCAAACCCUAUAGAUAACUUCCCAAGUCAAUGGUCUAAUCUUCUUCUACCCCAAUUAAACACAGAGAAUCUUGACACUGGUGCCCAGUUACUACCAUUUCUUAGAAUUUUACAUUCCUUUGAUGGCCAUGAUUCUCUCUUUAUCGUAUCGCUUCUUUUCUACUCACCCCUUAAACCAGAGCUCCUCUUCAAGAUUUCAUCCUUACAAACUUUUCUAAUGAUGUCCUCUCUCCAAGGGCCUCUAUUUUUACGAGGCAAUUCUCACACCUUUCAAGUCCAGGUCUCCAUACAAGAACUCCCUUUUGAUUUCUAGACCUAACCAUUCAACUGUCUGUUGGACAGACUUGUGAUCACAUUCUGGGUGGGAAGGAAAGAAGGGCCUUCUAGGAGCUCUGUGCAGGGAAAGGGCUGAGCAGGUGGGUGAGUCAGUCAAGAAGGCAGGUGGUGGGAGGGCUAGUGGAACGAAUGGGCCAUUACAGCCUUGGUGGUCAUAUGAAGGCCUCUGCGUUUUACCUGGAAAAUUCUGAGACUGAUUUAGGCUUUGAAAGAAUAGCUAAGGAUAAAGCCACGGAGAGUAGGCGGGAGGUAAGAGCAAUAACCCAGGCAAAUGGUUCAGGGGGAUUUUUUAAUCUAAAAUUCAGAGGGGGGGCUUGUUUUCAAGCUUUUCCUUAGGAGUUAUAAAAUUUUUGCAUCUAAAGUAAAAUAAAAUAUGGUCUCUAUAAAUUAUUAUGAAUUUCAACUUAAUUUAACUUUGUUCUAAUUCUCAGUCCUAAAUUAGAAUGUUCCAUUUUUAACUCACUCUAAAUUCUGUCUCAGCAGUUAAGCUCUCCCGAAUCUGGUUCAACUCUUGGCCCUCAGGCCAACCCAGUGUCCCAAGUCUUCAGAGGCAAUGGACAUUUUUAGUUUUGGGAAUCAGGCCUUUGCCUUUCUUAUUUAUGGCUCUCUAUUGAAGUGCUUGUAAUUCCGUAUAGAUUUCAUUUUAGUUUUCUGUCCUUUUUUACUUCCAUAUAGAAAGUAUGGUUCUAUUUGUUAACUCCUUUGUUGGGAAUGUACAAAUAUUUAUUUUAUGUUUACAUCUUCACCACUCAGAAGAGUGACACAAGCCCUCUCGUCUCUCUCUCAUUCAGAGCUUAUUUGAACAAUUUCUUUCUUCUUUCCUUCUUUCUUUCCUUCUUCCUUUCUUUCUUUCUUCCUUCCUUCCUUCCUUCCUUCCUUCCUCCUCAUCCUCAUGGAUACUAGUUGGGCUCUUAGCCUGCUGAGCCACAGUGAAAACUCAUGAACAAUUUUUUUUUUUUUUUUUUUUUUUUUUUUUUUGUCUUUUUAGGGCCGCCUGUGGCAUAUGGAGGAUCCCAGGCAAGGGGUCGAAUCAGAACUGUUCUACAUCACAGCCACAGCCACACGGGAUCAGAGCUGUGCCUGCGACCUGCACCACAGCUCAUGGCAACACCAGAUCCUUAACCCACUGAAAUUAAAAUAAGGAUUCUGAACAUAAGUUGUUUCCAUAUGAUCAUGAAUACUUUUAGUGACAAUAAAGGAUAUAAUGAAUUUUACCAAUAUUACAUAGUCUUCUUGGGAAAUAUUUUUCCUCAGUUGAAAAUGUUAAAGCAGGCACUCUUAAUGUGACACAGUGUCUUGAUUUUUGUUUUGUUUUGUUUUGUUUUGUUUUGUUUCUUUUUAUGGCUGCAUUUGUGGCAUAUGGAGGUUUCCAGGCUAGGGGUCGAAUUGGAGCUAUAGCUGCCAGCCUAGGCCAAAACCACAGCAAAGCAGGAGCUGAGCUGCGUCUUUGACCUACACCACAGCCCAGAGCAACACCGGAUCCUUAACCCACUGAGUGAGGCCAGAGAUCAAACCUGCAUCCUCAAGGAUACUAGUCAGAUGUAUUACGACUGAGCCACAGUGGGAACUCUUGGUAUGUUGAUUUUAAAGCAUGUUGCAAACUAUUAAAUACAACACCCAUCCUUACAUCUUCUUUGGAGAGAUGUCUAUUCAGGUCUCCCGCCUAUUUCUCAACUGGGUGGUGGUUGUUGUUGUUUUUGUUUUCUGUUGAGCUGAAUAAGUUGUUUGCAUACUUUAGAGAUUAAGCCCUUGUCAGUUGCAUCCUUUGAAGAAAUUUUCUCCCAUUCUGUAGGCUGUCUUUUUUUUUUUUUUUUUUUUUUAAUGGUUUUCUUUGCUGUGCGGAAGCUUGCCAGUUUGAUAAGGUUCCCCUGGUUUAUUUUUGCUUUUAUUUUUCUUCUCUUGGGAGACUGACCUAGGAAAGCAUGUGUAUGGUUGGUGUCAGAGAAUGUUUUGCUUAUGUUCUCUUACAGGAGUUUGAUGGUGUCUUGUCUUACAGUUCAGUCUUUAAGCCAUUUUGAGUUUAUUUUUGUGCAUGGUGUGAGGGUGUGUUCCAGUUUCACUGAUUUACAUGCGGCUAUCCAGUUUUCCUAGCACCACUUGCUGAAAAGACUUUUUCCCAUUUUAUAUUCUCACCUCCUUUCCCAAAGAUUAACUGACCAUAGGUAUCUGUCAACAUCACUAAUUAUUAGAGAAAUGCAUAUCAAAACUAUUAUGAAAUACUACCUUACAGGGGUCAGAACAGCCAUCAUUAACAAAUCAACAAAUAACAAAUGCUGGAGAGGGUGUUGAGAAAAGGGUAACCUCCUACACUGUUGGUGGGAAUGUAAAUUGGUACAACCACUAUGGACAAAAGUAUGGCGGUACCUCAGAAAAUUAAAUAUAGAACAACCAUAUGACCCAGCAAUCUCAUUAUUGGGCAUAUGUCCAGACAAAAUUUUUAUUGUGAAUACACAUGCACUCACAUGUUCAUUGCAGCACUAUCCACAAGAGCCAAGACAUGGAAACAACCUAAAUGUCCAUCGACAGAUGAAUGGAUUAAGAAGAUGUGGUGUAUAUACACAAUGGAAUACUACUCAGCCAUAAAAAAGAACAAAAUCAUGCUAUUUGCAGCAACAUGGAUGGAACUAGAGACUCUCAUACUAAGUGAAGUAAGUCAUAAAGAGAAAGACAAAUGCCAUAUGAUAUCACUUCUAUCUGGAAUCUAAUAUACAGCUCAAAAAAACCUUGCCACAGAAAAGAAACUCAUGGACUUGGAGAACAGACUUGUGGUUGCCAAGGGAGAGGGGGAGGGAGUGGGAUGGUCUGAGAGUUAACAGAUGCAAACUAUUACAUUUACAGUGGAUAAGCAAUGAGAUCCUGCUAUAUAGCACAGAGAACCAUAUCUAGUUACUUGUGAUGGAGCAUGGUGGAGGAUCAUGUGAGAAAAAAAAUAUAUAUGUAUGACUGGGUCAUUUUGCUGUACAGCAGAAAUUGACAGAACACUGUAAAUAAAUUAUAAUGGAAAAAUAAAAAUCUUAAAAAAAAAACAGCCAUUGAAAGGUAGGGUCCAUAUGCCCAUCUCUUGAAUCUGAGCCAACCCUAAUGACACUCCUGUGACCAUCAGACUGCAAUGUGAUGACAAGUGAUUUCAGAGGCAGAGUCAGAAAAGGCUGAGAAGCUUCUGCCUAAUUCUCCUAAGAUGCUUAUUCUAGGAUAAACCAGUUAGGGGCCACAUACAAGGUUUGAAACUCUCUUGGUGGAAAGUCCAGGUCAAUUCUGAUUGACAGCUCAGCUGAGUUCCAGGGAACCACCUGCAUUGACUCCCAUGCAGAUGAGUGAGUCAAACUAGCAAAUACAUCCCAGUCGAGCCUUCAGAUCAUGGUACAGCCCAAGCAAUGUGAUAGACACUAAGUGAAAGCUGCACUGCCAAGUCCUUCUUGAAUUCCUGACCAACAACACUGUGAGAAAAAUUAAAUGACUGUUUUAAGCUGCUAAGCUCAGUGAUAAUUUGGUCAAGCUAAUAACCAUAACACAUGGCUAUUAAAGCCAUUACAUGCUUAAAUGGUCCCCUAUUCAGUGCCACCUGGUCUAGCUUACAGCCUUGUAAGCUAUAUAUUAGUAUUUCCAAGAAGUAGACUUUCACAGAUACAAGUCACAUGUUAAUACAAAGACCUAGUUCUAUUUUCAUUAAAAUGUCCCAAGAACCCUGGAUUUAAGCGUUUUGGAGUGUUGAAGACAAUGAGAAUAAAAAAGAAAAUAGGUUCAUGUGGUCAAUUCCUUUUAUUAGACCCAGUGUGUUCUAAAGACUAUUUCUAAUUAUAUAAUGGUUAGGGGGUCAAGGACCUUUGUCUAGCUUUGAGAAUAUUAUCUUCUGUCUUCAUUUCUCAAACUCGAGGAUGUAAGUCAUUCUUAUCUGCCUUGAUCAUGUCUUCUAGAUGAAUCAGAAUUUGUAAGAGAGGACACUAUGAACACCUGUCACUUUAAAAUAUUUUAGGAAAUAAUUUUGAAGGCAGGAGGUUCCAAUUCUUACACGAUAUUAGAAUUAGGUAAGGAGGGGGAUUGGGAAAGCAGAGCUGUUGGGGGGUGGUUCAGGUGGCUGGAGGCUAACUUUUGAUGGAUUUACCUACAGCACCUUUCAAAACUGAGAAACUUUCUAGGGAUCACUUAUUUUUACAAGACCAUGCAAAUAUAUUUUUCUUUUGUGAAAUGUACCCAGUCUCGUCAUAUAAAAUUUAUCAACUGAAUUAAAAUUAUGUUUUGCCAAAGGAAUGGUUGCCAAAGAAACCAAAGGAAUAAAAUUUACUUUCUGCUUUUACAUUUUUGAUAACUUUUCAUUCCUCUUUUAUGAGUCAUACAAUUGCCAUCAGGAGACUCUGGUCAGAGACAAAGGUUCUUUGAACUGGUUGGGACAGACCUUCUCAAAGUGUGGCCUGGGGAGGCCUGUGGGUCCCAGAGACCCUAUCAGAAGAUCUGUGAAGUCGAACUCUUUCCAUAAUGCUGAAGAGACCUUAUUUGCUGUUUUUCAUCUAACUCUCUCAGUGCACUGUGGUGUCUUCUGGAGGCUACAUGGUGUGUGACUGCAACGGACUGCAGGCAGAGCUAUUCACGAAAACCCAACUGUCUUGCUAUGUGUUAAAAAGAUUUGCAAAAAAUGUAAAAUAAUGCCACAUUUCCUACUAUUGUUAAAAGCAUAGUCAUUUUAUGAAAGUAUUAAUAAUGCAUUUUUCUUAAAAACCAUGACCAUGGAAUGGACUUAUUAUUACACAGAAUGAAUUAAUUUUAGAAUUUCUGAGUGUUAACCUCUAAUGCAAAUACUGAUAGACAUAACACAAACAAAUCACUGAGACCCUCCAACAUUUUUUUAAAGUAAAUAAGGAUACAGACUGCAAUGUCAGGAACUGCUGGGUUAGGAAUUUAUCUGAGGAAACAAACAUUGUUUUACUGACAAUAGCCACUAACAUGUGUACUUCUAGGUAAAUCAAAACUUUAAACCUCUAUGUCUACGUUAUGCUGCAAAUCUCAAAAAUUCUUGUGAGAAUCAGAAGCAUCACUGGGUAGUCUAACUCACUGAUAGACCUAGGUAGGAAGGCAGGUAUUUGGAGCUUUCUGAAUCAAAGAUUCUGACUAGUUCAAAAAGGGGUGUGUGUGGGGUGCGUGUGUGUGUAUGUGUGAUUAUUUGAGAGAAUGUCAGACAAAUCAGAAAAAAAGUUCUGAGUGAAAUGCUAUUAACUGAAGACCUGGGUUACCUUCUCUCUAAAUCUCUCUCCUCUUCUUUUCAGACCAGAUAACAGAGUCUUACUCUGGGGUCUACUCUUCAUUUCCUUGUCUUCUGAACAAAGCAGGUAAUAGGAAAAAUGGUCAAAUCCCUCUGCUCCGAAGGACUGUUCAUACUCACUUCAUGUGGCCUCUUGAUCCAGAAUACUGGAUCACUUAUGCUUAAGAAAUCCUGAAAUUAGAUUCUAAUUAGGCAAUAAAAAUCAACCACCCUGACCAACCUGAGCUUUCAGCCAAGCCUUGGUCUGAUGAUAUAAGUUUUAAGAGAACGGGCAAUUCAUUUUUAUUGUUUAAUGACUUGCUUUCAGGUCUUUAAAAUCACAUGCAUAGUCAAAACCAAGUGAAUAAGUGAUUAUCUGUGCCCCCACCAAAAGGAAAAAAAAAAAAAAAAGAAAAAGAAAAA